rnacentral:rRNA from 1 species
GACGAACGCUGGCGGCGUGCUUAACACAUGCAAGUCGAACGGGUCUGCCCUGUUUUUUGCGGGGUGGGUCAGUGGCGAACGGGUGAGUAACACGUGAGUAACCUGCCCCUCACUUCUGGAUAACCGCUUGAAAGGGUGGCUAAUACGGGGUGUUCUGGCUGUGCCGCAUGGUGUGGCUGGGAAAGAUUCACUUUUGUGGUGUUUUGGUGGGGGAUGGGCUCGCGGCCUAUCAGCUUGUUGGUGGGGUGAUGGCCUGCCAAGGCUUUGACGGGUAGCCGGCCUGAGAGGGUGGGCGGUCACACUGGGACUGAGAUACGGCCCAGACUCAGGCGGGAGGCAGCAGUGGGGGGUAUUGCACAAUGGGCGGAAGCCUGAUGCAGCGACGUCGCGUGAGGGAUGGAGGCCUUCGGGUUGUGAACCUCUUUCGCCGGUGAAGAAGGUCCUGCUCUUUGUGGUGGGGUUGACGGUAGCCGGGUUAUGAAGCGCCGGCUAACUACGUG